CCCUGGCUGCUUAGAAAGUAAAGAAUCUGCCUGUAAUGCAGGAGACCCCAGGUUCCACCCCUGGGUUGAGGA
rnacentral:tRNA from 1 species